AAAACAAGAGGAUGGCGGCCAUGGCGAGGGACGGUCGGGAGGUGGAGGCGGCAGCGCCCUCUGGUGGGAGGCACAUCCGGCCGCCGGAGCGAAGGGGAAGCAGAGCCGGCGUUCGAUAGUCGGGAGGCGGCCUCGUCCGGCGGCUGGGACGCGGAUCCACAUCCCCUAACCUUGUGGAGGCGGGAUCUGGUGGGGGAGGCAGGGGAGGCGUCCGGCAGUCGGUGUGGGAGGCGCUGGCGGCCGGAUCCGGCUUCCCGGAGGCCAGAUCCGGCGUCCGACGGUCGAGAGGCGGCCGCGUCUGGUGGCCGGGACGCGGAUCCACGUCUCCUGAUCUCGUGGAGGCCGGAUCCGGUGGGGGAGGCGGGGGAGGAGUCCGGCAGUCGAUGGGGGGGCGCUGUCGGCCGGAUCCGGCGUCCGAUGGCCGGGGGCCGGCGAGGCGUGGGAGAUGGAGGCGGCCGGCGGUCGGGAGGCGGCGAGAUGUGGGAGGUCGGGAGGAAGAAGAGAGAGGUGGAGGCGGGAGGUCGGGAGGAAGUGAGGGAGAGAGUUGAGGAAGAGGAGAGAGUGGUGGGGAGGAGUUGA
rnacentral:lncRNA from 1 species